rnacentral:rRNA from 1 species
AACGAACGCUGGCGGCAUGCCUAACACAUGCAAGUCGAACGAGAUCUUCGGGUCUAGUGGCGCACGGGUGCGUAACGCGUGGGAAUCUGCCCUUUGGUUCGGAAUAACAGUUGGAAACGACUGCUAAUACCGGAUGAUGACAAAAGUCCAAAGAUUUAUCGCCAGAGGAUGAGCCCGCGUAGGAUUAGCUAGUUGGUGUGGUAAAGGCGCACCAAGGCGACGGUCCUUAGCUGGUCUGAGAGGAUGAUCAGCUACACUGGGACUGAGACACGGCCCAGACUCCUACGGGAGGCAGCAGUGGGGAAUAUUGGACAAUGGGCGGAAGCUUGAUCCAGCAAUGCCGCGUGAGUGAUGAAGGCCUUAGGGUUGUAAAGCUCUUUUACCCGGGAUGAUAAUGACAGUACCGGGAGAAUAAGCUCCGGCUAACUCCGUGCCAGCCGCCGCAGUAA